rnacentral:rRNA from 1 species
UACGGAGGGUGCAAGCGUUAAUCGGAAUUACUGGGCGUAAAGCGCACGCAGGCGGUUAAUUAAGUCAGAUGUGAAAGCCCCGAGCUUAACCUGGGAAUUGCAUCUGAAACUGGUUAGCUAGAGUCUUGUAGAGGGGGGUAGAAUUCCAUGUGUAGCGGUGAAAUGCGUAGAUAUGAAAAAGAAUACCGGUGGCGAAGGCGACCUCCUGGGCUCAUUCUGACGCUGAGGCACGAAAGCGUGGGGAGCAAACAGG